rnacentral:sRNA from 1 species
UAAUGUCGUUCGGGUUGUCUGUAGCCAG